UCGCGCAAACACAUGGGGGUAGAAGUGCUACAGUAAUAGCGAUUGAUUAGGUAUUCCGCCAUACAGUAUGUAUCUGCUAGACUAGGGUUUUAAGUCAUAGCCCCAGUCUACGUGCAGUAAAUAGUUCAAGUAUUUUUUAGAGUGGUAUAGAACUACUAGGCCUACUCUGUAU